rnacentral:rRNA from 1 species
UGCAAGUCGAGCGGCAUCAUACAGGUUGGCAAGCGGCGCACGGGUGAGUAAUACAUGUAAAUAUACCUAAAAGUGGGGAAUAACGUACGGAAACGUACGCUAAUACCGCAUAAUUAUUACGAGAUAAAGCAGGGGCUUGAUAAAAAAAAUCAACCUUGCGCUUUUAGAAAAUUACAUGCCGGAUUAGCUAGUUGGUAGAGUAAAAGCCUACCAAGGUAACGAUCCGUAGCUGGUCUGAGAGGAUGAUCAGCCACACUGGGACUGAGAAAAGGCCCAGACUCCUACGGGAGGCAGCAGUGGGGAAUAUUGGACAAUGGGGGGAACCCUGAUCCAGUCAUGCCGCGUGUGUGAAGAAGGCCUUUGGGUUGUAAAGCACUUUCAGCGAAGAAGAAAAGUUAGAAAAUAAAAAGUUAUAACUAUGACGGUACUCGCAGAAGAAGCACCGGCUAACUCCGUGCCAGCAGCCGCGGUAAGACGGAGGGUGCAAGCGUUAAUCAGAAUUACUGGGCGUAAAGGGCAUGUAGGUGGUUUGUUAAGCUUUAUGUGAAAGCCCUAUGCUUAACAUAGGAACGGAAUAAAGAACUGACAAACUAGAGUGCAGAAGAGGAAGGUAGAAUUCCCGGUGUAGCGGUGAAAUGCGUAGAUAUCUGGAGGAAUACCAGUUGCGAAGGCGACCUUCUGGGCUGACACUGACACUGAGAUGCGAAAGCGUGGGGAGCAAACAGGAUUAGAUACCCUGUAGUCCACGCUGUAAACGAUAUCAACUAGCCGUUGGAUUCUUAAAGAAUUUUGUGGCGUAGCUAACGCGAUAAGUUGAUCGCCUGGGGAGUACGGUCGCAAGGCUAAAACUCAAAUGAAUUGACGGGGGCCCGCACAAGCGGUGGAGCAUGUGGUUUAAUUCGAUGCAACGCGCAAAACCUUACCUACUCUUGACAUCCAAAGUACUUUCCAGAGAUGGAAGGGUGCCUUAGGGAACUUUGAGACAGGUGCUGCAUGGCUGUCGUCAGCUCGUGUUGUGAAAUGUUGGGUUAAGUCCCGUAACGAGCGCAACCCUUGUCCUUAGUUGCCAACGCAUAAGGCGGGAACUUUAAUC